UGCUUAGAUGCCUGGUGACUCUCAUCUUGCAGCAGGCCACACUGUUGGCCUCCAAUGAAGCCUUUAAAAAGCAGAUGGAGAGUGCUAGUGAGGCGGCCAAGAAGUACACGGAGAAUGACCAGCUCAAGAAGGUGAUGAGCUGCUGUUGACGGAGGCAAGUUGGAUGUCGGGAAUGCUGAGGUGAAGUUGGAGGAAGAGAACAGGAGCCUGAAGGCUGAGCUGCAGAAGCUAAAGGAUGAGCUGGCCAGCACUAAGCAAAAACUAGAGAAAGCUGAAAACCAGGUUCUGGCCAUGCAGAAGCAGUCUGAGGGCCUCACCAAGGAGUACGACCGCUUGCAGUAGGAGCACGCAAAGCUGC
rnacentral:lncRNA from 1 species